rnacentral:rRNA from 1 species
GACGAACGCUGGCGGCGUGCUUAACACAUGCAAGUCGAACGAGAAUCUACUGAAAGAGUUUUCGGACAAUGGAUGUAGAGGAAAGUGGCGGACGGGUGAGUAACGCGUGAGGAACCUGCCUUGAAGAGGGGGACAACAGUUGGAAACGACUGCUAAUACCGCAUGAUGCAUAAGAGUCGCAUGGCUUUUAUGUCAAAGAUUUAUCGCUUCAAGAUGGCCUCGCGUCUGAUUAGCUAGUUGGCGGGGUAACGGCCCACCAAGGCGACGAUCAGUAGCCGGACUGAGAGGUUGAACGGCCACAUUGGGACUGAGAUACGGCCCAGACUCCUACGGGAGGCAGCAGUGGGGAAUAUUGGGCAAUGGGCGCAAGCCUGACCCAGCAACGCCGCGUGAAGGAGAAGGCUUUCGGGUUGUAAACUUCUUUUAAGAGGGAAGAGCAGAAGACGGUACCUCUAGAAUAAGCCACGGCUAACUACGUGCCAGCAGCCGC